GUAUUAGCUGCUGGUGCCUGCAGGCAGUAGCCUGUUCGGUUGCCCGGGAAACACAGAUGGUGGAUGAACGGGGCGCAUACAAAAGACCAUAAACCUGUGGAAGCAGCUGGAGACCGAGACCACUGAUUAAUUCAAGUCUGCGCAGUCCCCCCCUCAGUAAAAGAAGUCAGUGUUCUCAUUAAUGCCUCCAGCUCGUUUUCUUUGUCCCGGGGCUUCCGUAUUCACUUUAUCCUGUUUUUUGCCCGGACUGGACUCCCGUCAGUGAGCAGCUGUUGUUGGCACACCCACAUCUGCUGGUGUCAGCUCGGCGGCCAUAGAAGAGGACGCUCAACCGCGGCAUGUCGGUGCGUAGCGGGUCGGUGCGAAGGGCGAGCAGGCUUUUACUGCAGGCGUUUCACUGCAAGCACACACGACGACGACCGUGAGCUGUUUACCCUCAGCAAGGAAAAAGAAGAAGAAGAAGAAGAAGACCGAGGAGAAGCAGCGAUCUUUUCGCACCUUUUGAUGCUGCGGGACAGGUGCAUGUGGAACCUGGAGAUCCCUGGAAACAUUUGGGUCAGUGUUGCAUGGACCAGAGUCUCCAUCAGAGCUGCUGACAUGUCACCAGGACGCUGGGAGGAUCCCAAUGGAAACCAACAGCAGGACAGGUUAUGUGUACAGGCUGGAUCAGAUAGAGCAUUUGAUUAGUCAGUCAGUUAGAUAACUGAUAUCAGCGAACAUAUCAAGUGACUUUAUCAACAGGAGAAAGAAGGAAUGAAUGAAAAAGCUAUGCCUUUGUAUCUUGGGAGGACAGUUGGGUUGUGUUCCACUUCUCUGCUGCUUUGUGUUGUGUGUUCUUCUCCAGUUACACCAGUGGAAAAGCAGACCGAGGCUUGACAGGACCUCAUUGUGCUCCCGGUGGCGUCGCUCCAUCGCCCUCUGCUGUGCUUCCUCCCAGACUGGUACAGGAUCUAACCGUAGAUUUACACCGCUGUGACUUUUAUGUCCCUCAUAUUCGCUUUUACACGCCACCACUCUGACUCGUUAUUGACUGAUGCAUGGUGCCAUUACUGCUGCUGCGUACCUUUAGAAGGAGAGAAUCCCCAUCAAGAGACGACUUAUGCUGUUUUUGUGUAUCAGUGAAAAGAGUUUAAAAUGCUGCUUUGUAAUCACCACGAUCCAAUUAUUUAUUUAUUUUAUUUUUUUAACCGUGUCUCUCAAAUUGAUGUAUUUUUCCUGGCUGUGAGUAAUACUGACAUAGCUUCAUUCGCCCACUCGUUUUUUGUUUGUGCUCAUCAAAACCACUGACACUGUGGCUACGAAAAGCCUCGUAUGCUUGUUUUGUUCAGCUGCUGUGCGCAGUGACCUCUUCACUCUUGUUUCCGUAGUUACUCUUUCUGACACUUCGGUUACUUCUCACUGUACGAGACACUUCACUAGAAGUGGCGCUUUAACGGCUCUGCUUCGACUCGCAAAAUAUAGCAUGCGUCUACGUCAGAUACAGAGCCUGCAAAGAUGAUUUAAAAAAAAAACAAAAAAAAACACGGGUGAGAAUGAUGAGUUUUCUCACAUGGUAAAAAUGUGUAGUUCUCACAGUAUGCUUUUGUCUGUGUUGAAACCUCAAGUAAGGUGUCAAACUAUUUUUAAUGUACUACUCACAAUAUGUGCUCUGUAUUUUUACUGGAGUGUGUGUGAACGGGGGUGUCUGUGUGAGUGCAUGUGUUUUUGUUUUUUGCAUGUUCUCUAUUUGUGUACAUGUUCGUAGAGGUAUGUGCGCAUGUGUAUUAUGUCAGUCGGGUGAAAUGUAUUCGUAAUGGGCCUGAAGCUGAAGCUAGAAGCUGCUUUACCAGGAUUUUCUCAUAGCUGCAAACCUUUUAAUACAUCCCUUUACCUAGUGGAUGUUCCAGAUACAGCUUAAAACACUAUUUACUAAUGAUUCUUAGCAUUUGUUCCAACCUCAUUGAACUAGCAGUUAUUCUUGUGAUUCGGAUCGCAUUGGAAAUUAAUGGUGUGUAGUUUUCUAAAUGAUGCCCGCCGGCAUUAAUUAAUCUAUCCGGCCUACAGCUCCAUCUUUCAACACUUUAAUUACAGCAAAUGCUAAUAAUUAUGUGUGAAUAGCUUUUUCUACCCGGGUCUGGAUUCUACUAACAGUAUCCCACUAAUAUCUAACCAUACUAAUGUCUGCUAACAGUUGAAGGAUUACUAACCCGUAAUGAGAAUGCUGAUGGCUGGCGUUUCUAACCCACUGACUAACCCUCUGCUUUGUGACUGCAGUCUCAUGCACGCCCUCCUCUCACACGGUCCUGAAAUUCUUCUUUUAGAAAUGAUCAAGUCAGAUAUUAAUUAUUCAAGAAGACAGACACGCUGAAAAUGCGAGCAUGCCCAGAAGGGUUUCAGGACUUGGGAGGAUGGAGGGGGAGUGCUAUUAACCACAAGUUGAAAAGAGGAGCAAGAACAGCUGCUGAUAUGAAACUGGGUUGACCACAUACUUUGAGAAGAAUUUCUCACAAAACUGAUUAUGGUCUGACUCCAAAGCGUCGCAGUUCCCAGGAUAAAUUCACAUCGUCAGAGACCGGUUUGUGUCUCUGUACGUGCCCUGUGUGGUCAACCUCUGCAGGUGAGUGUCUGGCUUGUUCUUAUUGCAGGUCGUAGAUUAAGACAGAAGACCAACACAUACUCCUCAUGGCAUUGAUACUAACCACGGUGAAGCUGUGAAGCUCCACCUGUUGCUCUUACUAACAUCUCUGCUCUUUCAUAAUCUUUAAGCAGAUAAUAAUAAAGCAUGCCUUGUAAUAAAGUGAUGUUCUUUAAAGUAGUUAACAUGAAAGCUUUUUAUCCAAAAGCUUUGCCCGUUCUACUUGGAACAUUAGAAAUCUCCAAAAACGACUAAGGACAGUUUUGUCUCCUACAGUUGAAUUAACAGUUACUAACACAAGGGGCUUUUAAAACUAACAAACUAACCCACUAAUAAUCUAACAACCACUAACUAGAAUCACUAACAUUGUGCUUAGUGACGGAAUAAGUGACGCAGCCCCUAUUUAAGGAGCUGCAUCACUUGUUGAAUAUGCCAACAGUUUUUAAGAGUCAGUGAUGUGCUUGAAUGUGCGAGAGAGAGAAGAUUGAGUGUGUUCUUACAGAAGGUGUUUAUGUGUUAAAUUCUGAGCUGGUUCACACUGGAUUUCACCAGUAAAUACAGCAUUCGACAUCUCAGGAGUUUUACGUGUUGAGACAAAUUAAAUGUACACAGCUACUGUUGUACCUCAUUGUUAACUCAUUACUCGUCUUGGCUAUAGUUGUUGUUAGCUGCUUUCAUAUCAAAAUUUAUUGACAAUAAAGUUGACUUGAAGAACGUUUUUUAAUGUCUUGUUGCUUUUCUGAACUGUUUGCACGGAAGCAGACUCAAAACUAAAGAUGAAGGCAAACAAACUGUCAGCAGCAGCAGCGGCAACAACAGGUGAAGCAAAAUCACCUCCAACAACUUCAUUUCUACACAGCGACCUGCAACGUUUUAUUAGACUGUCAUUAUGAUAUUUGAUAUGAAGGUAAUAACCUCAAGUUUGCUGUUGCAUGAUCUGUUUACCCCACAAACCCAUAUAAACUGAUCAGGCACAACAUUAGGACCACCCUUCUAAUAUUGUGUAGGGGGUCUUUGGGUCCUGUGGGUUGAGGGGAGGGGGCCCUGUGUGCAUCUUCCCACAUAUACUCGAUCAGUUAGGGGUGAAUUUGGAGGCCAGGUCAACAGCUUGUGCUGUUAUUUUAUUUUAUUUUUUGUUUUUCUGUGUGUGUCUGUGUCAGACUGCAUCCUGCGGGGGAUAGCUGCAGCUAUCAAACAGUGCCUUUAGUAUGGGGUGGGGGUGCCUGGUCUGGUCUAGGUGGGUGUUACAUGUCUAAGUAACGUCCACAUCAAUACCAGGUCCAAAAGUUCCGCAACAUGGUCGAUGUUAUUUACUUCUCCUGCCAGUGGUUUUAUUGUUGUGGCUGAUCGAUGUAUCUGCAUCACAGCCGCACCCAGUUACCAACCAAUACACCACCAACACAGUUCAACACACUAACAGAGAUUAAGCUAUUUCUCUGAAGGCUCUUUAAUUUUAAAAUUUUGAUCCGUCUCUCUACGUCUGGAUUCUGAGGUAAAAUUUUCUUUUUUAAUGAAAUACAGACAAUAUGAGAAUUAAAAUCUGUAAUUAUUUGUGUAGACACUUAAGUGUCGCUAAAAGAUCACUGUGAAUCAGCUCAGUAUAAACACUAUAACUCACAAGUAAUGGUGGUGUCCUGCUGUCUUUUCAGAGUUUUCAUGGAUGCAAAAUUACAGCAGGGGGCAGCAACUCCUCAGUCGGGAGGAUUUGAUGUCUGUUUUUUUCUGAUGGAGGGCAAACUACCACCCUAAGCAUCAAAUGGGCCAAUGUUUGUGAAGAUGUGCAGUGACUUGAUGUUGAUCACUCUUUAUUCAGAUCACAUUCUGCAUCUGUACCUCAAUUAAAAGUCUGCAUUUGUGUUUGAAUUUAAA